rnacentral:rRNA from 1 species
GACGGAGGGUGCUAGCGUUGUUCGGAGUCACUGGGCGUAAAGGGCGCGUAGGCGGCCUCAGGUGUCGGAUGUGAAAGCCCGGGGCUCAACCCCGGAGGUGCAUCCGAAACUCUGGGGCUGGAGGUCGGAAGAGGAGGGUGGAAUACCCAGUGUAGAGGUGAAAUUCGUAGAUAUUGGGUGGAACACCGGUGGCGAAAGCGGCUCUCUGGUCCGGACCUGACGCUGAGGCGCGAAAGCUAGGGGAGCAAACGGG